rnacentral:rRNA from 1 species
AUUGAACGCUGGCGGCAUGCCUUACACAUGCAAGUCGAACGGCAGCACGGGAGCAAUCCUGGUGGCGAGUGGCGAACGGGUGAGUAAUAUAUCGGAACGUGCCCAGUCGUGGGGGAUAACGCAGCGAAAGCUGUGCUAAUACCGCAUACGAUCUAUGGAUGAAAGCGGGUGAUCGCAAGACCUCGCGCGAUUGGAGCGGCCGAUAUCAGAUUAGCUAGUUGGUGAGGUAAAGGCUCACCAAGGCGACGAUCUGUAGCUGGUCUGAGAGGACGACCAGCCACACUGGAACUGAGACACGGUCCAGACGCCUACGGGAGGCAGCAGCGGGGAAUUUUGGACAAUGGGCGAAAGCCUGAUCCAGCAAUGCCGCGUGCAGGAUGAAGGCCUUCGGGUUGUAAACUGCUUUUGUACGGAACGAAACGGUGAGCUCUAACACAGUUUGCUAAUGACGGUACCGUAAGAAUAAGCACCGGCUAACUACGUGCCAGCCGCCGCCGUAAAAC